GUAUGGUAGAACCAUCACUUCUACCACUAAUUCCUUAGCAUAUCAAAAUGCUCAGAAAAACUUGAUGAUGUAACAGAAACUAUGGACUCUCUCUUUUCUAGCACUUUAGACAUGGUUGCUCCUUUAUGCUUAAGGAAUAUUAAGGAAAACAGUCUGAUGCCGUGGUAAUAAUAAGUACAUUAGGCAUGAUCUUAGCUUUACAUUACAAUACAACAUCAUUCCUAGGUUGCCCCCUUUGUGUAGUUAAUGAAAUUGCAAGACACCCGUGUAGGUCUUCAGAUACACCUAAUUGUUUUUGAUUGUAUUUUAUUUUAUACAUUUAUAUAGAGUCCAGUCCAGUAUGCAUUGAUGUAGCAGAUUGCUAUCUUAUUAAUUUUUGUGUUUGAUUUCGAAUUUAAGAUUAACAGUAUGAAAGUAUUUGAAGAGUAUUUGAAACAAGUUAUUUAAUUUUGUGCUUAAGGCUCAAGGCCAAAAUUGGAAGCUGCGGGUGCAUAACAUUUUUGACUAUUCAGCGUGAUUUUUUUUUUUUGGUCAUUGUGCUCUACACCCAUAUGUCUGCUUGUUUAAAACAACACAAAAUGUUCAUCAAGAUAAUGUAAGCUUAAAACCGGUUUCUCCCACGGAAGAAAAUGUAAAUAUGAACAAAAUCUACUCCUCUUAAACGUUGUUAAAACUUAUGAGUGUUUAUCCACUACUGUACAUAUUUGCCUUUCAUCAUUAGUCAUGUGUUUGAGAAUGAGAUCACUAUCUCACUCUGAUGUUUUCUAGAUCUUCGAAGGUCAAAAUAUCGUUCUGUUCAACUUAAUGUUAAUGGAUGACGCUGGAUCGAUCACAAUUUUGUGUAAUUCAAUGUGUCGAUCACAUUUAUUUGGGUUUGCAGAUAAUGUAUGAUAUGCAUCCAAAAUAAUUAAAUGAUCAUUCAUGCUUGCAAAGAAAAUGAAACGGGAUUGGUUUCAAUCAAACAGGAUAUUAAAAUCAAUCAGUCAAGCACCCAGUUCUGGUUGAAACAGUACAACAUAUGAGAGUGAAAGCUGAUAUAAACAUCGUUGGUCAAAUCCUAAGCUUUUUAUAGAUAAAAUGAAGUCUAACUUUAAAGUUCAAUGAUUUAUACCAUUAACAUCCUAAUAUAAAACAAGUUAAUGUGGUGCUGCUAGUAAUGAAUUUUAUGAAAAGUUCGUGUGUUAAGGGAAAUAUAGUUCAUGACAUUAAAAAAACAAUAUAUCUUUCUUAUAGUAAAGUGCCACUGGUUCAAAAGGAAAUAAUAACUUUAGCAAGCUCUUUUAGGGUGUUUUAAUGUACAUUGCACAUAUUUUUCUUGUAUGGUCAAUAUUAACUUGUAAAAUAGAAUAAUGUAGUUUGUUGUAUUAAUUUUUACACUGGGGUGUAAAAGUGUGUGUAUGUGUAAUAUUCUGUAUCAGGCUCUUUUCCUAUACAUUACAAAGUAGUGUUAUGAUAAAUUGUUAUUGUGUCUUGUCAUUACUGCUGUCUGGUUUAUUAAAACCUAUUCAUUCUCUGUUUACCUCUAUUAAACUUUCAUUUUCUCACAAAGACCCUCCCCUUCUGAUAAGCUAUAAAAUGAGCACUGAAACAGACACGUCAUUUCACUCACCUCCUGAUCAAAGAUGGAUUUGAAAAUCUCUCUUCUUCUUCUUCUUCUGUUUGUUCUUUACACUUCAGGUACAAAGACCCAUCGUGCUUGUUUAAGUUUUUUUUUUACAUUUCAAUACAGACAAUUGAUGUCUCUCUCUCUCUCUCUUUAUUUCUAAAGGACACUCUCUCAAAUGUAAAUUGUGUCCAGGGAGCUCUUGUGAACUGGAAACAUGCUACAGUGGAUCAACCAGCUGCUUUAGUGAAACACAACUUAUUAAGUCCAACUUCAGUCUAUCCAAUGCAGCUGAACUGAAGGUUAGAGGAUGUGCUCCAGUUGGUGACUGUGUAAGUGGGUUCAUCAACCUCGGCAGUAUAAAGGUGUCUUCUUCCUGCUGUAACACAGAUCUCUGUAAUGACAAAGAUGCUCCAGAUCUCCCAAAUGUCACCAAUGGAAAACAGUGUUACCAUUGUGAUGGGCACAGCUGCUCAAGCAUACUACCCUGCUCAGGGAGUGAAGACCGCUGCUUCACAGCGACAGGUGA